rnacentral:rRNA from 1 species
GACAGGUGGUGCAUGGUUGUCGUCAGCUCGUGUCGUGAGAUGUUGGGUUAAGUCCCGCAACGAGCGCAACCCUUAUCCUCAGUAGCCAGCAGUAAGAUGGGCACUCUGUGGAGACUGCCAGGGAUAACCUGGAGGAAGGUGGGGAUGACGUCAAAUCAUCAUGCCCCUUAUGAUUUGGGCUACACACGUGCUACAAUGGCGUAAACAAAGAGAAGCGAGCCCGCGAGGGGGAGCAAAUCUCAAAAAUAACGUCUCAGUUCGGAUUGCAGGCUGCAACUCGCCUGCAUGAAGCUGGAAUCGCUAGUAAUCGCGGAUCAGAAUGCCGCGGUGAAUACGUUCCCGGGUCUUGUACACACCGCCCGUCACACCAUGGGAGUCGAUAACGCCCGAAGUCAGUGACCCAACCGUAAGGAGGGAGCUGCCGAAGGCGGGAUUGAUAACUGGGGUGAAGUCGUAACAAGGUAGCCGUAUCGGAAGGUGCGGCUGGAUCACCUCCUUUCUA